rnacentral:rRNA from 1 species
UACGGAGGGUGCAAGCGUUAUCCGGAUUCACUGGGUUUAAAGGGUGCGUAGGUGGGGUGGUAAGUCCGUGGUGAAAUCUCCAAGCUUAACUUGGAAACUGCCGUGGAUACUAUCAUUCUUGAAUGUUGUGGAGGUAAGCGGAAUAUGUCAUGUAGCGGUGAAAUGCUUAGAUAUGACAUAGAACACCGAUAGCGAAGGCAGCUUGCUACACAAUUAUUGACACUGAGGCACGAAAGCGUGGGAUCAAACAGGAGUUAGAUGAUCCCAGUA